CAGAUCUCUAGCAGCGUGGGACGUAGCUACAUCGCUCCCCAGAGGACAAGGCAUUGACCAGAUUAGCUGAACACGAGCUGGCUGGAAGCAUGCCCUGCUCUCUCCUUGUCCUUCUUCUUGGUGCCUUUCUGGGAAUCAGAGCUCAGACCAUUCAGCAAUCACCAGCUUUCAGGGUGCAGCUCGUGGGCAGCCCACUGUCCAUGGAGUGUACCGUGAAGGGGACGUCAAACCCCAACCUGUACUGGUACCGGCAGACUGCAGGAGAAGCUCUUCAGGCUCUCUUCUUCUCCAUUAGUGUGGGCCAGGUAGACCCUCAGGUGUUCCAGAACCUGAAAGCCUCCAGGCCCAAGGAUGACCAAUUCAUCCUGAGCUCAGAGAAGCUCCUCCUCAAUGACUCUGGCUUCUACCUCUGUGCCUGGAGUCUCACACUGUGCUGGGUGGGGCAGACAUCUGUACAAAAACCCCACCCCUCAGGAGUCCUCCUGCUGUCUUGA